rnacentral:rRNA from 1 species
CAAUAGCGUAUAUUUAAGUUGUUGCAGUUAAAAAGCUCGUAGUUGGAUUUCGGAUGGGAUUUGCCGGUCCGUCGUUACGAUGUGCACUGGCCAGUCCUAUCUUGUUGUCGGGGACUAGCUCCUUGGAUUCACUUCCUGGGACUAGGAGCUGACGAGGUUACUUUGAGUAAAUUAUAGUGUUCAAAGCAAGCCUACGCUCUGAAUACAUUAGCAUGGAAUAACACGAUAGGACUCUGGCUUAUCUUGUUGGUCUGUGAGACCAGAGUAAUGAUUAAGAGGGACAGUCGGGGACAUUCGUAUUUCAUUGUCAGGGGUGAAAUUCUUGGAUUUAUGAAAGACGAACUUCUGCGAAAGCAUUUGUCAAGGAUGUUUUCAUUAA